GGGGGGGGGCGGGAGGAGACCAGCAGGUGCCGGGGCUCUAGCCCCUACCCCCACCCUCAUCUUCACUCUCACCCACACCCGGGGAUUGGCCUCGCCCCCUAGCGGGCGAGCGCUAGGUGUAGGGACUCCCGGGCUGGGGGCGCACACCCGCGGGCGGCGGAAAAGAGGCGGCUGGGGCCUCCCCGCCCGGCGCACACUCGGAGGCCGGCACUCGCCCGUGCGCACCGCCGGUCCGCAGCCCCGAGGAACAUGUCCGCGGCCAGGGCGCGGAGCAGAGCCCCGGGGAGGAGAACCGGGGGAGGGCGUGUGCAGUGGCGGCGGCGGCCGCGGAGCCGCUAGUCCCCUCCCUCCUCGGGGAGCAGCUGCCGCCGCCGCCGCCACCCUCAGCGCGCGGGCCGCGGCCGGAGCGGGCGGGCGGGCGG
rnacentral:lncRNA from 1 species